rnacentral:rRNA from 1 species
AAUUUUGGACAAUCGGCGCAACCCUGAUCCAUCCAUGCCGCGUGUGUGAAGAAGGCCUUCGGGUUUUUAAGCCCUUUCUGACGCAAAGAAAUCGCGCAGGCUAACACCCUUCGCGGAUGACCGCCACGCCAUAAGAAGCCCCGGCCACCUACGUCCCAGCAGCCGCGGUAAUACGUAGGGGGCGAGCGUUAAUCGGAAUUACGGGGCGUAAAGCGUGCGCAGGCGGUUGAUUAAGACAGGCGUGAAAUCCCCGGGCUUAACCUGGGAACUGCGCUUGUGACUGGUCAGCUAGAGUACGGCAGAGGGGGGUGGAAUUCCACGUGUAGCAGUGAAAUGCGUAGAGAUGUGGAGGAACACCGAUGGCGAAGGCAGCCCCCUGGGCCGAUACUGACGCUCAUGCACGAAAGCGUGGGUAGCAAACAGG